rnacentral:rRNA from 1 species
AUGGCUCAGGAUGAACGCUAGCGACAGGCCUAACACAUGCAAGUCGAGGGGCAUCGGGGCGAGGAGCAAUCCUUGCCGCCGGCGACCGGCGCACGGGUGAGUAACGCGUAUGCGACCUGCCCGUUGCAGGGGGAUAAUCGGGGGAAAUCCCGUCUAAUACCGCGUAAUGCCGCGGGGCUGCAUGGCCCUGCGGCCAAAGGGAGCGAUUCCGGCAACGGAUGGGCAUGCGUGACAUUAGCUAGUUGGCGGGGCAACGGCCCACCAAGGCGACGAUGUCUAGGGGUUCUGAGAGGAAGGUCCCCCACACUGGUACUGAGACACGGACCAGACUCCUACGGGAGGCAGCAGUGAGGAAUAUUGGUCAAUGGGCGCGAGCCUGAACCAGCCAAGUCGCGUGAUGGAUGACGGCCCUACGGGUUGUAAACCUCUUUUGUCGGGGAGCAAAUUCCGCCACGUGUGGCGGAGUCGAGAGUACCCGAAGAAAAAGCGUCGGCUAACUCCGUGCCAGCAGCCGCGGUAAUACGGAGGAUGCGAGCGUUAUCCGGAUUUAUUGGGUUUAAAGGGUGCGUAGGCGGACUGUCAAGUCAGCGGUAAAAUACGGGGGCUCAACCUCCGCCCGCCGUUGAAACUGACGGUCUUGAGUGGGCGAGAAGUAUGCGGAAUGCGUGGUGUAGCGGUGAAAUGCAUAGAUAUCACGCAGAACUCCGAUUGCGAAGGCAGCAUACCGGCGCCCGACUGACGCUGAAGCACGAAAGCGUGGGUAUCGAACAGGAUUAGAUACCCUGGUAGUCCACGCAGUAAACGAUGAAUACUAGCUGUCCGGGGCGAAUGAGCCCUGGGUGGCACAGCGAAAGCGUUAAGUAUUCCACCUGGGGAGUACGCCGGCAACGGUGAAACUCAAAGGAAUUGACGGGGGCCCGCACAAGCGGAGGAACAUGUGGUUUAAUUCGAUGAUACGCGAGGAACCUUAUCCGGGCUCAAACGACACAGGAACGUACCUGAAAGGGUUCGGCUCUACGGAGCCUGUGUUGAGGUGCUGCAUGGUUGUCGUCAGCUCGUGCCGUGAGGUGUCGGCUUAAGUGCCAUAACGAGCGCAACCCCCAUCGACAGUUGCUAACAGGUCAGGCUGAGGACUCUGUCGAGACUGCCGGCGCAAGCUGCGAGGAAGGCGGGGAUGACGUCAAAUCAGCACGGCCCUUACGUCCGGGGCGACACACGUGUUACAAUGGCAGGUACAGCGGGAAGCCACCUGGCGACAGGGAGCGGAACCCGAAAGCCUGUCUCAGUUCGGAUUGGAGUCUGCAACCCGACUCCAUGAAGCUGGAUUCGCUAGUAAUCGCGCAUCAGCCACGGCGCGGUGAAUACGUUCCCGGGCCUUGUACACACCGCCCGUCAAGCCAUGGAAGCACGGGGGUGCCUGAAGUGCGCUGCCGCGAGGAGCGCCCUAGGGUAAAACUCGGUAAUCUGGGAGCUAGAGUUCGUAACCAACGGUAACGCGU